UUUUACGGGGCGUGGGCUGCAUCUGGGCCAGAGGAAAUUGUUUGAGUCGGUUUUCAGUGUGUGUGCCAGUUUUGGGCCGGGGACCCAGCCGGAACUGGGCCAGAAGCUAAGCAAGGUUGUGGCCCAGAGGUGGGCCAGACAAAUCUUGCUAUCUGGGCAGUUCGUCGUCCUUUGGUCAGCGCGACAUUACUUUAUGGAGACGUUGUGAGGACGUCGUGGUAAAGUUCCAUUUUUUAGAAUCUUGACUAACGUUCCAGAAACGUCGUGGGAACGUCCUCAAAAGACGUUGCUUGUUAGUCCUGUGAAGAACGUUGUAGCAACGUGGUCAGCUGGUCUCAUGAUAACUUCUCAUAUUAUUGCACUACAUGUAUUAUCAUGUUAAGAUAACAUUUGGAUAGCCUAUAUUUUGGAAAAUAUACUGAAUUAAUCAAGCAUUUUAAAAGAUGGCAUGAAUUAUUAUAUUUGUAGAUGUAUGUGUCAUCAAAUUAAGGACAAAACAAAAACCAAAUAGUUUGCUUAGCAAAUGGUGAUCAUUGUUAAUUACAUGUUUGUGAAUGACUGAAAAUGAGAUUUAUUGAAAGAGGGCACGGGACAAAUUAACAUUUAAACCAGCAGCGCGCGGCGCGUCACUGUCUGAGUACUGCGCGAGAGUGCGCGUGCCCGUCAUUAACGGUCAACUUCCAGCUGACGGACACGGAGGAAAAGAUUCAAGGGAAAGAUGAAAAAUAAGGAAGUCUGGGAAUGACUGAAGAAGACCGCAGCGAGGGAAGGAAGUAAUCAUCACAAUAUUCCAGUUUGCCAGGAAUCUGGAGUCUCUGACUCUGCACUGAAGGAACUCUUUGCUGAGGAAGACCAAGUGCUGAGGAGGAGCCUUGUUCUACAGCAAAACACUGCAUUAACCCUCCAUGACAAGAUGAAGAGUGAAGAGUUUCCCUCCUGUCCUUCCCUCAGAAGAGCCUGCCUUCUGCUGCUGGGGUAAGAACGACACUCUUCCUCUUCUCUCACAGCCGUCCAGCACCUAACUCUGCCUCCUCAGCACUGUCUGAUAGAGUCUUCUCCACAGUCAGUAAUCAGAGAUCACAGAUUCUCCAGAGAAAGUCAACACGCUCAUUUUCCUAAACAAAAACUGUUUAUGUUUUUGGAGUGGGCCAAAUUAUACAGGAGUGAUGCUAGAAAUCUUUAAAUUGUUCAUUUGACAUAUCUUUACUCUUUAUGAAUGUUAUUUUCUUUAUUUUAUCUUCUGAGAAGCCCAAGAACUAUGGUUCUUUGGUAAUUGUAACAUUGUUUAGGUUUAUCUUCUGAUAGUGAAGCAGUAUUAAAGCACAUCAGCACCAGAUAUUAAUGAAGUAUCUACUGAAUUGUUUCAUAUCUUUUUAUCAUGUCUUUAUUUUUUUGCACCAAAUUAAGGGAGUUGUAUCAAUAAGAGUACUGAUAAUUAUUGAUAAUUUUCACUGAUAACAGCAUUAUUUAACUAUGCCCACCCUUAAUGAGACACAAACUUUUUCAGUUGAUUAUAUGGCAUAGCAAUCUAUGAAUUGAUGUGGUCAGUUUUCUGUGCUCAUGACUUGGUAACACUUUGCAUGGUUAAAGAACAGGUGUAAUGUUCAGAAUGUUUUGGUUUAGUAUUUGUAGAA